rnacentral:snoRNA from 1 species
UUAUUAUGAUGAAUAAUUUUUAAUCAGUUCUGCUUCUGAACCAAAACUCAACAGGAAGAUAACUUAAAAAUACUUACCAAAAACUGCUGAAAA